UACGAAGGGGGCUAGCGUUGCUCGGAAUCACUGGGCGUAAAGGGUGCGUAGGCGGGUCUUUUAAGUCAGGGGGUGAAAUCCUGGAGCUCAACUCCAGAACUGCCUUUGAUACUGAGGAUCUUGAGUUCGGGAGAGGUGAGUGGAACUGCGAGUGUAGAGGUGAAAUUCGUAGAUAUUCGCAAGAACACCAGUGGCGAAGGCGGCUCACUGGCCCGAUACUGACGCUGAGGCACGAAAGCGUGGGGGAGCAAACAGG
rnacentral:rRNA from 1 species